rnacentral:rRNA from 1 species
GAUGAACGCUAGCUACAGGCUUAACACGUGCAAGUCGAGGGGAAACGAUAUUGGAAGCUUGCUUCCGAUAGGCGUCGACCGGCGCACGGGUGAGUAACGCGUAUCCAACCUGCCCAUCACUUGGGGAUAACCUUGCGAAAGUAAGACUAAUACCCAAUGACGUCUCUAGAAGAUAUCUGAAGGUGAUUAAAGAUUUAUCGGUGAUGGAUGGGGAUGCGUCUGAUUAGCUUGUUGGCUGGGUAACGGCACACCAAGGCGACGAGCAGUAGGGGUUCUGAGAGGAAGGUCCCCCACAUUGGAACUGAGACACGGUCCAAACUCCUACGGGAGGCAGCAGUGAGGAAUAUUGGUCAAUGGACGAGAGUCUGAACCAGCCAAGUAGCGUGCAGGAUGACGGCCCUAUGGGUUGUAAACUGCUUUUAUAAGGGAAUAAAGUGAGAGUCGUGACUCUUUUUGCAUGUACCUUAUGAAUAAGGACCGGCUAAUUCCGUGCCAGCCGCCGCUGUAA